rnacentral:lncRNA from 1 species
AGAGUUCUCCAGUACUGAUCCAGAUGCCGGCCUGUAGAAUUUUCUAGAUGAGAUGUACAAUACUCUUCGGGUGAUUAAGGCUUCAGAGACGGAGGGAGUUGAGUUGGCUUCCUACAGGUUGAGUGGAGCAGCAUAUUCGUGGUUCGAGAUGUGGGAGGAUGCUCGUGGGGAAGAAAUCCCUUCGGCUAAAUGGGACGAGUUUGUAGAUGCAUUUAUGGACAACUUCUUGCCUACUGAGACAAUGGUAGCUUGGACUACUGAGUUUGAGGUCCUCAAGCAGGGUAGUAUGAGCAUUUGGGAGUACGACAUGGAGAUUGUGAGAUUGUCCAAUUAUGCUCCUCAGUUAGUGUCAACCAUGAGUGCCCGGAUUUGGCGAUUUGUUCAAGGCCUUAGUCCCUUGGUGGUGAAUGAGGCUGCUACUGUGGCCUUACACUCAAACAUGAAUUAUGGAAAUAUUGUGGGGUUUGCUCAGGCCACAGAAGCUAGGAAGUCAAUAAUUCGGGCAGAUAUGAAGAGUAACAGCAGGGCCCGGUCAUUGGGUCACACAGGGAGGCCAGUUUAGGGGAGAGAGCCAUCAGGGCCAUCCCAGUCACAUGCUCAAAUCUCAAUCUUCAGCGAGGGCACCACCAUCUGUGCAUAGUUAUCAGCAGAGCUCUCACUUGAGACCAGGUUCAGACAGUAGGAGGCCCUACCAAUCGGGUCAUCCAGUAGGGAAAUUACAGCAGGGUAGGGCUCCGUGCCCCAAGUGUGGGAGAUUUUAUGCAGGGACUUGUUAUUUGGAUGUCCCGAUGUGCUAUAGGUGUGGGGUGAGAGGUCAUAUCUUUGAGGUUCCCUAUGAAAUGAGGCAUGUAAAGGAGCCAACGGGACUGUCAAGUGCCCAGUCAGGGCAUAGGUAGGGGAUUUGCUCAAUCAUUCGGUUCUUCAGUCGCCAUAUCAUCCGCUCGUCCUCCAGCUCCAGCAGGGUGUGGUGCAGUUAGGGGUGGGGCUAGUCGUAGAGGUAGACCCAGCCGGUUUUAUGCUUUGAGUGGCCGCCAGAGUGCAGAGGCUUCUUCAUAUGUUGUUACAUGUAUCUUAUCUGUUCUGGCCAUUGACUGUUAUGCUCUUAUUGAUCCGGAGUCCCCUUUGUCUUAUGUCACCCCCUUCAUUGCUUCAAGUUUUGGGAUAAAACCCGAACAGCUUCAUGAGUCGUAUCUCCGUAUCUUGGAAUGGUGCAUUUUGAUGUUAUUAUGGGAAUGGACUGGCUCUAUUCGUGCUUUGCUAAACUUGACUGCCGAACAAGAGUCAUGAGACUCGAGUUCCCUAAUGAACCGGUUAUUGCCAAAGGGUAGGUUUAUUUCCUACCUUAAGGUUUCAAAGAUGAUUAAGAAAGGGUGUAUCUAUCAGUUGGUCCAAGUGGCAGAUACCACUUCAGAAGCGUCUACCCCCGAGUCUGUCCAGUUGUGAAUGAGUUUCUUGAGGUGUUUCCACACGAGCUUCCAGAGAUUCUGCUAGAUAAGGAGAUUGAUUUUGGAAUUGAUGUAUUGCUUGAUGUGCAACCAAUAUCUACUCUACCAUAUUGAAUGGCGCCAACAGAGUUAAGGGAAUUAAAGGAGUAGCUGAAGGAUUUAUUAGAAAAAGGGUUCAUAUGACCGAGUGUGUUGCCGUGGGGUGCUCCGGUUUUUUUGUCAGAAAGAAGGAUGGGUCGCUGAGGUGUAUUGAUUAUCGGCAGCUCAACAAAGUCACCAUCAAGAAUAAAUAUCCCCUGCCUCGGAUAGAUGAUUUGUUCGACCAAUUUCAAUUUGCAAGGUUCUUCUCCAAAAUUGAUCUAUAGUCCCGAUAUCACUAAUUAAAGAUUAGAGAGCAGGACAUUCAUAAGACCACUUUUAGAACUUGCUACAGUCUACUUUGAAUUCUUGUUCAUGUCUUUUGGGCUAACCAACACCUCGGAAACCUUUAUAGAUCUUAUGGACCGGGUCUUCAAGCCAUUUUGGACCCUUUAUGAUCGUUUUCAUUGACGGAAGCCUUGCUUACUCGCAUAGACGGGAGGAUCAUGCCUAUCACCUCAGGGCAGUUCUGCAGACUCUUCACCAGCACUAGUUGUAUGCUAAAUUUUCAAAAUGUGAAUUUUGGUUGGAGUCUGUUACCUUUUUAGGUCAUGUUGUUUCCGGUGAAGGGAUUCAGGUGGAUCCCCAAAAGAUUGCAGCAGUAAAAGAUUGGCCUAGACCCAUGACCCCGACGGAUAUUUAUAGCUUCUUGGGUUUAGCAGGGUAUUAUCGGAGGUUUGUGGAGGGAUUCUCUACCCUCACCUCCCCAUUGACUAAGUUGAUGCCAAAAGCAAUAAAGUUCCAAUGGUCUAAUACUUGUGAGAAAAGUUUCCAGGGGCUGAAAUCAAGGUUGACCUCGGCACCAAUAUUGAUCUUGCCAGAAGGCACAGAAGGAUUUGCAGUUUAUUGAGAUUCCUCCAGUGUUGGUUUGGGGUGUGUAUUGAUGAAACAUAGGAAGGUUAUAGCAUAUGCCUCAAGGUAGCUCAAGAAUCACGAGAAGAAUUAUCCGACGCAUGAUUCAGAACCUGCAACAAUUGUGUUUGCCUUGAAAAUAUGGCGGCACUAUCUUUGUGGGGUCCAUGUGGAUGUGUUCUUGGACCACAAGAGCCUCCAAUAUUUGUUCAAACAGAAGGAGUUGAACCUAAGGCAGUGACGGUAGAUAGAAUUGCUCAAGGAUUAUGAUAUGAACAUUUUGUACCAUCCAGGAAAGGCGAACGUGGUGGCCGACGCUCUUAGCCGAAAAUCUAUGGGUAGUUUGGCUCAUUUGAGAGCAGAUCAGAGGCCCUUGACUCAGGAAGUGCAUCAAUUGGCCAGUCUGGGGGUUUGUAUUUCGACCUCAAAAGAGAGGAAUAUUAUGGUGCAUAAUGGAGCAGAAUCGUCACUUGUAGCGGAGGUCAAGGAGAAGCAAUUUAUUGAUCCGGCACUGGCAUAGGUGAAAGAGGCAGUUUUGAAUAACAAGAUUUUGACGUUUUCACUCGGAGGUGAUGGUGUACUGCGAUGUCAUGGUAGGCUAUGUGUUUCAGAUAUGGAUGUUCUUCGGGAGAGGGUGAUGGCGGAGGCUCAUAAUUCUAGGUAUUCGGUGCACGCAGAUUCUACGAAAAUGUAUCAUGACCUCAAGGGAAUUUAUUGGUGGAGCAGGAUGAAGAUGCGGUGUAGCGGACUUUGUAUCUAAAUAUCCAAAUUGCCAGCAAGUAAAGGCUGAGCAUCAGCAACCGUGUGGGUUGACUCAACUUAUGGAAAUACCCACGUGGAAGUGGGAGAUGAUCAACAUGGAUUUCGUGGUGGGGUUACCUCGCACUCAGCGCAAGUAUGACUCAAUUUGGGUAAUAGUGGAUCGACCAACGAAAUCAGCUCACUUCUUGCCAGUCAAGUCCAGCGAUACCGCAGAGUAGUAUGCCCAAUUGUAUAUCAAGGAGAUAGUAAGGUUUCAUGGCACUCCACUUUCUAUUAUCUCGGAUCGAGGGGCCCAGUCCACAGCUAAGUUUUGGAAUAAAUUUCAGCAAGGUUUGGGUAAUCAGGUGAAUAUCAGCACGGCUUUCCAUCCAUAGACUGAUGGUCAAGCCGAGCGGACUAUUCAAACACUUGAAGAUAUGUUGCGGGCCGGUGUCCUCGAUUUCAAAGGUAAUUGGGAUGAUCACCUGCAACUUUAAGAAUUUGCUUACAAUAACAGCUUUCAUGCUAGUAUUCAGAUGCCCCCAUUUGAGGCAUUAUUUGAAAGGAGGUGUAGGUUUCUGAUUGGGUGGUUUGAAGUGGGUGAGGUAGAACUGAUAGGGCCAGAUCUCGUGCACCAUGCUAUGAAAAAAGUUAAAGUCAUUCAAGAGAGGAUGAAAAUUGCUCAAAGUUGCCAGAAAUCCUAUGUGGAUGUGCGUCGAAGAGAAUUGGAGUUCCAAGUAGAUGAUUGGGUGUUUUUUAGGGUAUCUCAUGUGAAGGGAGUCAUGCGGUUUGGGAAGAAAGAAAGUUGAGUCCUAGAUAUUUCGGGUCAUACCGGAUCAUUCAAAGGAUAGGACAGGUAGCUUAUAGGCUGGAAUUGCCCCCUGAAAUGACAUUAGUGCACCCGGUGUUCCACGUGUCUAUGCUAAAGAAAGUGGAUAGAGAUUCGUUCACCAUUGUGCCAGUUGAGGCAAUCGAGGUCAAUGAAGAGUUUUCAUAUGAAGAAAUUCCGGUUGCCAUUCUUGAUAGGCAAGUCAAAGUAUUAUGGGAAAGUCAACGAGUCGAAGAAGCCACGUGGGAAGCGGAAAAUGAAAUAAAAGAAAAAUAUCCCCAUUUGUUUGAACAAAUCUAGUAGUGAUCGUGCGAACAAUUGUCUUUAAGCAAUUUGAGGUAGUGUUCAAAUUUGUGCAAAGGCACCCCAUUAUUUUCUUCAAAUUGCCUUAUUGAUGUAACUUCCCUGUGUGUGCCAAAUUGCAAAUGUUGUCGCUAUUUGGGUAAUGUGUAACCCUUGAAGUAAAUGAAAAUUUUGAGAAACUUAUGUUGUAGGUAAAUUAUUAAUGAUAAUGUAGAUAGGUAAUGAUUAAUUGAAGCAAUUUAGGCAGGUUAAAGUGAUUGAAUUGUAUGGGGCUCAUUGAAGUAACCCCGUUGUGUGCAAGUAAAUUACAUUGGUUAAAUCAUGUGCAAUUUGUGGUGUAAAGAGAAUGAACUACGUGUAAGUUGUUUAAAGUGUAUGAAUGUGUACAAGUUGUUGAUGUAAUGAAUUAUAUACCAAUUGUAGGGAUAACAUAAACUGUGUAAUGAUACUUGGAAAUAUAUUUCGGGGGCUCUAUGACGGGUAAAUAGGCCUAAUUACGAAGGAACAUCUAGCGAAAUUUUCUAAAAAUAUGGGAGUUAGCGAAAACGAGGAGUUUGCAUAUCACUUUUUCAAAAACAACCUCAUUUCCAAAAUCCUCAUUCGAGGAUAAAUGAUUUUAAGUCGGGGAGGAUGUAAGGCCCCGUAAAAACUUGUACAAAAUCUAGUAACUUUUAGUGCCAAGUUUCGAAUACGUGUUAGUAAUGUGUAAAAUUUUACUAAUCUAGCUUUUAAAAAGCAACGAAUCAAGCUUUCCAGAAAAUGCCAAUCUGCGAUCUAGAAUGCGGUCGCAGAUCAAGUAUGCGGACUAACUUUCUGCCGCAGACUGAGUCAGUAGCCUAGGUAAAUUGAGGUAAAAAUUGCGGUCCAUUAUGCGAAUGCAUAAUGGAUAUGUGGACCGCGUAGUCGUUGCAUAAUUUCCUAAGGAUUUUGUGAAGGGCGGUUCGGCGAUGCGUUAUGCGACCGCAAAACGUGAAUGCUGACCGCAUUCCCGUCGCAAACCCAAACAGUACGCCUAGCUUUUGAAAAAUGUUUUGUGGUCCACUCUGUGGACCGCAUUUCCACUCUGCAAUCGCAAAGUGCGACGAUAGAUUCGACUCGGACUCUAAUUUUCUUAAAUUUUAAUCAUAACCCCUUCUUCAAUAAAACACCCCAAUCCCUCAUUUUUGCAUAAUUUCUAAACAAACUAGAGAGAGGAAGAGAGAGUUUAUGAGAGAGAGAGAGAGAGUUUUACAUGUGUUGAUUUGAUUCUUCAAAGUCACCCGAGCUGGGAAGUCUCACGUAAUAGCUUUCAUCUUCUUCCUUGCAGGUAAAUCCCCAACCCUUUUCCACUGAUUUUCUAGUUUAAACAAAAAAUGGGAUUCUUAUGCAUUAAUUCUUGAAAACCUAAGUUCAAAUACGCAUGCAUGUUCUUUAUAACCUAAUACCUAGUAAAAGGAAAUGAGUAGGAGUAAAGAUUUGCAAACNNNNNNNNNNNNNNNNNNNNNNNNNNNNNNNNNNNNNNNNNNNNNNNNNNNNNNNNNNNNNNNNNNNNNNNNNNNNNNNNNNNNNNNNNNNNNNNNNNNNNNNNNNNNNNNNNNNNNNNNNNNNNNNNNNNNNNNNNNNNNNNNNNNNNNNNNNNNNNNNNNNNNNNNNNNNNNNNNNNNNNNNNNNNNNNNNNNNNNNNNNNNNNNNNNNNNNNNNNNNNNNNNNNNNNNNNNNNNNNNNNNNNNNNNNNNNNNNNNNNNNNNNNNNNNNNNNNNNNNNNNNNNNNNNNNNNNNNNNNNNNNNNNNNNNNNNNNNNNNNNNNNNNNNNNNNNNNNNNNNNNNNNNNNNNNNNNNNNNNNNNNNNNNNNNNNNNNNNNNNNNNNNGGGGGGUGGGGUCGGGGGUGGUUGAUAACCUAAAUAAAUUUGGGGUAAGUAAUUGUGAGCUUCGAUUCUAAAAUGUAUGUGUUUACUUGUGGACUAGAUUGGCGGUACUAGGCAAUUGAUAAGCUGAAAGUAGAAGUAAAAAGCGGAUACUCGACUCCAGGUAUGUAUGGCUAACUUUAACCUUUGUAAGGUCACCUUGUUGAUGUACGAGUGUUUGGUAUGUGUCACUUAUGUGGACUAUUUGUGGAUUCUUGUGAUUUAUGCAUCUUGAGUGUUGGCUAAGUUUCCCGAUAUGUUGGUGUAAGUAAAUGGCAACAAACAAGCAUGUGUAAACGUGUUUAUGUGGUAAGAGCUAUAUAACAAAUGAUGGAAAAAAGUCGAAAUGGAUGUAAUUGAACAACUAUGAUAAUAUCAUGUGUGGCUUGUCGUGGGCAAUUGUUGUUGUGACUUGAAUAUUAGUCGGGCUGUUGUACUUGAUGGAAAUAGUAUUGAUGUUUACGGAACUCCUUGUUGUGUGAAGUGUGAUUGUCCAGUGGGAUCAGGUUGCGCACUGCAACACGAAGUUAUAAGGUGUUUGUUGUGGUUAUAAGGAUGGCCGAGGUAAUAAGGGAGCCGAGGUAAUAAGGGUGGAAAAAGUGAUCAAAAUCACUAUUUAAAUGCAAAUAUGUAAUAGUUGUGAAAAUCAUUGGUGUGGUGGAAUAUUGUUGAAAGAGGAAAAGGAGAGAUAGUGAAACUUGUUUGUUUUUGGUUGUUCCUUUCAUGUGCAUUUGAUCGUUGAUUCCAUUACUGUUUGCUACCUAUGCAUUGCUUGAUUUUACUUGAGGUGAAGUUUGUUCAUACAUACCAGUACAAUUCAAAUGUAUUGACGUCCCUUUUGCCGAGGGCGCUACAUUCAUGUUAUGAUUGUUGGUGGAUCCAUAGCAGGUACUCCCGUCCAUCGACAAUAGCACUCAUCCACUCCCUAUCAGCUGAAUUGGUGAGCUCUUUCUUGUCGAGGUUCUAUGUGGCUCACGCCGCCUUCUUCCAGAGUUGUAUAAGAACGAGUAUCCCAAUAGCGAUGGCGAUGGCGAUGGCGAUGGCGAUGGCGCAGAGAUGACUGGAGAUGGUGUUGCUGGGUUAGGUGACAAGUAGUUGUUUUUAUUUCUUUUUUGCUUGUAAACUUUGUACAUAUUUUUGUGGGCAUCUAUUCUAGCCUUUGUAAUGAAUAUAUUUUGAGUAUGAAAUGCCAUUUUCGUUGCUCAUACCUGAAUUUUUUCUUUUUGUUCAGGUUUAUAUGCCUCUUUCUUUUGUUUUUCCAUUUGGCACUUUAAUCAUUAAAAACUUGGUUCAUGUGUGUUGAACGAGGUCAAACAGAACUUAGUUUUGAUCAUUACCGCGGGCCAAUAGGUGUUAAUUCGAACGAUAUUGAAUGUAACCUAUGCUUAAUUAAUUAUGGCCAAUGGUCGAAUUGGCAAUAAUUCGAAUAAAGGCGAAUGCAACCUUUACUCAGUUAAUCUGGGUGAAGUCGGAUGUAACUUUUACAUUAUUAAUUCGAGUGAGGCCGAAUGUAGCAUUUACUCAGUUAACUUGAGUGAGGUCGAACGUAAGUUUUACUUGGUUAAUUUGAGCGAGGUCGGAUGUAACUUUUACUUAGUUAACUAGAGCGAGGUCAAACAUAACUUUUACUUAGUUAACUCAAGCGAGGUCGAUGUAACUUUUACUUAGUUAACUCGAGCGAGAUCAGAUGUAACUUUUACUUAGUUAAUUAGAGUCAGGAUCGAAUGUAACUUUUACUUUGUUAAUUCGAGCAAGGUCGAAUGUAACUUUUACUUAGUUAACUCGAGCGAGGUAGAACAUAACUUUUACUUAGUUAACUCGAGUGAGGUCGAAUGUAAAUUUUACUUAGUUAAUUUGAGUGAGUUAUGAUAUAACUUUUACUUAGUUAAGUCGAGCGAGGUUGAAUGUAUCUUUUGUUUAGUUGUGGCUCUGGGGCGAGUGGGUAUUGAGGCAAUGUUGCUUUGACUGUGUGAAGAAAAUAUGUGCGACCUUUCAUGCAUUUGUUCUUAUAUUCAUAUAUAUUGCAGGAAUUUACAUAUUUUCUGGGUUGGCAUUCAAGUCCCAAUCUGCUUAGUCCCUUCAUUGGUCGACCUAGAGAAGUAUUUAGAGGUUGGGAAAUGAACUGAAUGUCCGUUCACAAUUGCAACUUGUCCCGUCCCCCCUGUCGCCUUAUUCAAAACCUCCUUGAGAAAACCUAAUUAGGGCAAAACUCAAGUGAGGGAAAAAGAGUACGACUUGGAGAACGCUCUUUUUUAAAAGAUGAAGUACGUGAGGUAGGUGACAUUCCAAUAGAUUGGUAGUAGUUUUCGUUCCAUUGUUUCAAGUUGGAAUGACCUAUUGUUUGAUGUUGCUGUGAUUUUGUAUAGGUCGUCCCAAUUUGUCCCUAGUUUGCCUUCCCACAGGGUCUUUGCUUGCUUGUGUUUUGUCUUUGAGCACGUAGUCCCCGACUUUGAGUGAUUUGUCCUUUGCCUUUUUGUUAUAAUAGCAUUAUGUCUGUUGUUUUUGGUAAUCAUCCUUAUCUAGGCCAUAUCUCUCCGUUCUUCGGCUUUAUCAAGCUCUUAAUUUCUGCUUUCAUCAUUUCUCGACCCGCUCUCGUGGUAGUAUCUCAAAAUGGGCUCUCCAUCUUCGACUGGUAUUACUGUAUCAGUCUUAUAGGCUAAUGACUUGGGCAUCUCUCUCGUGCUCGCCUUCGGAGUUAUUUGGUCGGCCCAAAAUAGUUUUGGUAGUAACUCCAGCCAUAAUCCAUUGGCAUCUUCGAGCUUUUUCUUUAUGAUGUUCAGUAUUGAUUUAGUGGAGGAUUCUACUUUCCCGUUGCCCAUGGGGUGAUACGGUGUUGAGAAUAUUUCUUUGAUAUGCCACUUCUCAAAAAAUUUGGUGACCUUUUUUCUUGUAAAUUGGGAUCUGUUAUUGCAACUGAUCUCUUUGGGGAAGCCGAAUCGCCACACGAUGUUUUUCCAUAUGAAGGCGAUCACUUCCUAUUCACAUAUUUGUGCGCGUGCUCCUACUUCUACCUAUUUAGAAAAAUAGAUAGUUAAAGCCUAAAAAAAAUCGUACGUUACCUCGCCCCACGGGGAGGGGGCCGAUGAUGUCCAUUCCCCACUUGAUGAAUCGCCAAGGGGAAAUGACUGAGUGGAGGUGCUCGACUGCUUGGUGGGUCAUUGGGGCGUAUUUUUGGCAAUUCUCAUAUUUUUUCACGAAGUCUGCGACCUCUUUUUUCAUGGUGGACCAGUAUUAUCUUGCCCAUAUGAGACAUCUUACUGGAGAUUGAUUGCUUUAAUGAGGCCCACAAUGGCCUUCAUGGACUUCAUCAAGGACGCAUCGUGUCUGAUUUGGGCCUAAGCAUUUUUCUAGGAGGCCACCAUAUGUCCUUUUGUAUAGGUUGUUAUGAAUGAUGUUGUAACUAGCAGCUUGCAUCAGUAGCUUAUUGGCUUAUUUUUAUCAUUUGGGAGUUCACCAUCCUACAAGUAUGUAACAAUAUGGUUGUGCUAGUCCCAAGUUAGAUUUAUGGUCCCUGUCUCAAUUUGAUUUAUCGAUGAGUGGAGGAAGGUGAUAUUUAUAUGGCCACACUUUUAUGUCGUGGUCUGCGCUCUUAUCCCAUUCUUGGAUUUGUUCAAGUUUGACUACUUUAUCAGUUGAUUAUGGCUUCUUUGGCUCAUUUUGAACAAACCCUACAAGCAAGCACAUUAAGUUAGUUUCUAGGAAUACCUUCACUCGUUUUGACCCAAAACCUAAGCAAAUAAGAGAAAAUAAUAGGUUAAAAUAUCUACUUGUCAGAAGGUGACCACGUUUCUUUAUCCAGUGAUGUUUUUGGUGGCUGCUGCUAAUUUGGCAAGGCCAUCUGCUUCGAUGUUUUGUGCUCGAGAAAUAUGGUUGAGCUGAUAUUCAUCAGAUUAGGGCAGCAGUUUACGAAUCACGGCCUGGUAUUUUUGUAAACUUUGCUCUUUAAUUUGGAAAGUCUGGACCCGUCUCGCCCCGUAUUUGAGUGACUAGCCUUAAUCCUGAAAUUGCGACCUCAUACUCGGCCUCAGUAUUAGUCAUGUACGGGCACUUUAUGGACUGGUGAAUCACUUCCCCUGUUAAGACUUUGAGUAUGAGUCCUAGUCCGGACCCUAACGCAUUAGAAAUGUCAUCGGUGAACAAAAUCCAUAGAUUUUGCUUGAUAGAUCUUAAACACUCUUGCCUUAUGUUUUGAUGAUCUAACAAACUAACUGCUAAGAACUAGUAAGGGAACCUAACCUACUUGGAUUGUUGCAAGAAUUAAUGGAUUUCAGCUAAAGAUGAAUUGUUAUAGCUUCAAAACUCAGGAACCAAACAAGUACCAGAUGCUCAUGUGGUUUCCUUGUAGUAGUACAAAGUCACUUGAAACAACUGGAAAUAAAGUGACCGACGACACUAUUUCUGCCGCACUGCACCACAUUGUCAGCCCACUCAUUCUCUAACCAAACAAAGUACUCACAUCAUUUCAAGUGAUGUGAUCAAGAUGUACCAAAGGAGCUUUAUACAAAAACAUCACUUGAAGGUUUUGAUUUCUCAUUCCUCUAGAAAAAACAGAAAAAUCAUUCUCUCAAGCUUGAAGAACAAGGUUGAACGCCACUACGGACCAGUUCCUAAAAGAUUGAUUGUUGGUGUCCUAAUUGAGUUGUAACCUUGUUAUUGUACUUACUAUAUCUCCUAAAUCGCUUACUUAGAAGUAUACUGAGUAGGAAUCCUCUUGUAAAUCCGUAAAUUUGUUGAGUUUAUAAUGUCACUAGAUUUAGUCACAAGGAAAAGUCUUUGUAAUUGUACAAUUACAAAGUGGCUUGUGGUGAUAGUAUCACAAGUUAGAAAAAGCCUUUGUAACUAGGAUAGUCACAAGCUGUCUUGUGGUAAAGGUACCAAAAGUUAGUUGAGUAAAUCUUUUGCAAUAGGAAGUAUUGUAAAGUGGCUUAUAAUGGCUAAGAUUACAAGUUCGUGAAGUUAAAGGACUAUAUGUGUCGGUCGUGGUUUUUGAUCCCCUUGUGCAGGAUUUUUCGACAUAAAAUUCCUCUUCCUCAUUUACUUACUGUUCUACUAAGUGCUCUCAGCAGAAAGUUGUAGAGAACCAGGUACUCUCCGAUUUGGUAAACUCAUACAAACUAACAAUUGGUAACAGAGCGAAUUCCUCCUAUCAGGCUUACACCUAGGAAGGAUCCUUAUGGCGGCUCCACUAAAUUUGAAGAAGGUCAUCCCAUAUACCACCCACCGAAGUUUGAUGGAAAAGGCUAUUGGUGAGGAAAGCUAGAAUGCAUGAUUUCAUCAUGGCUGAGGAUUGUGAGCUUUGGGAUGUCAUCUGCGAUGGUCCAUUUCACCCAAUCAAGGUACUAAAUGAAUUUCCAUUUUCAAUAAAAAAGACUAGCGGAGAAUAUACUAAAGUAGACAAGAAAGCAGCGGAGAAGAACUUUCGUGCCAAGAAACUUCUGGUAUAUGGUUUGAGACCUAGAGUACGACGGAAUCUCUACAUGCGACACUGCCAAGGAAAUAUGGGAGGCUUUGCAAAUAGCUUAGGAGGGAACUACAUAAUUAAAACAAGAUAAAUCUAAUAUUGACGAUAGUACUAUGAUGGCAGUUGAAGGCGAGGAGAUUGGAUAUGAUUCAACGCUUGCUUUGGUGGCUCAGUCAGACAAUGGCAAUGAAGAGGUAAACUUCAGGGAUAUUCAGAAACAUCUGAAAUCUCCAAAAGAACUCAUGUGCUUAGCUGAUGUUUUAAUUACUGUCUUUUGUAGUCUUGCGGAGGAUAUGGAUUCAUUGUUCUUAUAACUAGAAGAAUCUGAACAUAAUAGAGAAGACUUAGUGGCUGCAAUUAUUGAUCAAAGACGAUCAUUGAAAUUCUUGGAAAAGAAAAGAGUGAUCUCUUGGGAGAAACUGUUGACCCAAGGAAACUAAUAGUAAAUCACUUAACUAAGUCAAAACCUAAAAGCUCUAAAAGAGGAAAGGAGAUAGUUAAUGAGGAAUACUGCAUCUGAUAAUUGGCCUCGUACCAAUGUGGUAACACUGGGCUCUCUAUGGAAGGUGUUCAGGCUAAGAUUCAAUCAGUACCAAAAGACAAAGUGGCUGCUGAGACAGUGACCACAAAAUAGGGACCAGGUUACGCUCACAGAAAACGCACAUUACCUGCAUGGACUAAGAGAGCUCUUAUUCAUCCUCUUGGUUACUACAAGGGAUCCAAACUUGUUUGGAUUCCUAAAACUAACUCCUAAUUUCUUGUGCAAGGAACAGUGACGAGAAGUGGUCAGCAAUAAUUCAUGGAUAGUGGGUGUUCGAAACACAUGACUGGGAACACCACAGACUUUCUAUCACUAAAAGCCCUGCAAGGAGGGAGUGUAUCAUUUGGCAAUGGCAAAAGGGGUACAUUCUUGGAGUUGGAAAAGUUGAGAAGUCAGUAACUCGUUCUAUUAAAAAUGUGUACUAUGUCAAUAGACUUAAGUAAAGUCUCCUAAGUGUCUCUCAAAUCUACGAUAAAUGAAACAAGGUGGAGUUCUUGUACAAAAUAUGUAUAGUCACUGACCUUGUGACUAGUGAAAUAGUUCUGGUGGCCAAAAGAUACAAGAAUAUCUAUGUUGCUGAUUUUGAAUAUUUACUGAGUGGUGAUCUGAGUUGUCUGAAGGUGGUUGACGAUGAUGCUGAACAAUGGCAUAGAAGACUAAGCCAUGCAAGCUUUUCCUCUGAACAAACUUAUUCAAAAGGACCCAGUCCAUAGUCUGCCUAUGUCACAAUUCAAAACUCAAAAUGUCUGUGAUGCAUGUGCCAGAGGAAAAUAUGUAAAGUCCUCCUUUAAGCCAAAAAGAGAUGUGAGCACCUUAAAUCCGCUUGAGCUCCUGCAUAUGGAUUUGUGUGGACCUAUGAGGGUGCGAAAGAAAGGAGGAAAGAGAUACAUUUUCAUGAUCGUGGACAACUAUUCCAGAUUCACAAGGACUCUGUUUCUCAGAACAAAAGAUGAAACUGUUGAAGUAUUUGUGGCCUUUGUGAAGAAAAUCCAGGUGAAGAUAGAGUCUAAAGUUGUAUGCAAUAAAUCAAAUCAUGAAUGAAUUUGACAAUAUCAAAUUUGAUGAAUUCUGCAAAGAAAAUGGGAUCACUCACAACUUCUCAGCUCCCAUAACUCCAUAGCAAAAUGGAGGAGUUAAACGCAUUAUAUCAGAUCAUGGGACAUAAUUUGAUAAUGUCAAAUUUGACAAUUCUGCAAUGAAAUUGGCAUCACUCACAACUUCUCAGCUCGCAGAACUCCACAGCAAAAUGGAGUAGUAGAAAGAAAGAACAAAACUCUAGAAGAAACAACAAGAACAAUGCUGAUUAAUGGUGGACUUGCAAAGAACUUUUGGGAUGAAGCUGUCAACAUUGCCUGCUACUUAGUAAACAGGUGCAUGAUCAGAUCGAUUCUAAACAAGACUCCAUAAUGAACUUCUGAAUUGACAAAAACCCAAGCUGACCUACCUAAGAGCUUUUAGAUAAUUUUAUGUUCUCAACAAUGGAAAGGAUCACCUUAGCAAGUUCGAUACCAAAAGCGAUGAAAGGAUAUUUCUUGGCUACUCUUCUCAAAGCAAGGCUUACAAGAUAUAUAACAAGGGGACUUAAUGUGUUGAAGAAAGUGUCCAUGUUAUUUUUGACGAAUCUCAUAUAUCAUUUGAGAAUAGUGCUGAGGAAGAUCAAGAUGGAGAACCCUUACUUGUUCCUGGUGAAGUCAUUAAUAUGACAAAUGGAAAGGCAGGCUUGAUGACUCAAAUGAGGGAGACAAAUGGAGAUAACACGGCCUCAUCAUCAACAGAACCAAACACUUUAAAUACAAUAAUUGAAGCUGAAGAAAGAGUGGUUGAUACAAUUCAGGGAACUCCACUGGCAUCUGAGAGAAGGAUAGAGGAGAAUCAGCCAAACAUAUUGUCUUCCUCUCACGAUGAACCCAGACAUCUAACUGGAAACAUCAAAGUUCUCACACUAUGGAUAACAUAAUCUCGCCCCUAGAUUCUGGAGUUCAAACUAGGUUUAGAGCAAGAAAUUCACUUGCCUUAUCAUCCUUUCUCUUCCAGAUAGAACCCAAGAACAUCAAAGAAGCCCUAAAAGAUGCAGAUUAGAUUACAACCAUGCAAGACGAGCUACAUCAGUUUAAGAGAAAUAGUGUUUGGCACCUGGUAUCCAAACUUCCAGAUAGAACCAUUAUAUCAACCAGGUGGGUAUUCAGAAACAAGCUCGAUGAGCAUGGAGUUACCACAAUGAACAAGGCCAGGCUAUUGGUCCAAGGUUACAAUCAAGAGGAAGGGAUAACGAUGAUGAAACUUUUGCUCCAGUGGCUCGCAUGGAAGCCAUAAAAAUUUUGAUCGCAUUUGCUUCUCAUAUAGAAUUCACUUUAUUCCAAAUGGAUAUCAAAAGUGCACUUUUGAAUGGACUACUUAAGGAAGAAGUUUAUGUGAAGCAACCCCUGGGUUUGAAUGUCAUAAGCCCCCUGAAUAUAUGUUCAAAGUGGACAAAAAUUUGUUUGGGCUAAAGCAAGCUCCUCGAGCGUGGUAUAAAAUAUAGUCAAAAUUUCUCUUAGAAAAUGGCUUAAAGAGAGGGAAAAUUAACAACACUCUUUUCAUAAAGAAAUGAGGAAGGAACAUGCUCAUUAUUCAGGUUUAUGUUAAUGAUAUCAUUUUUGGUGCAACAAUUGGUUCUCUGUGUGAAAAAUUCGCAAAACUUAUGGGGAGAAAAUUUGAAAUAAGCAUAAUGGGGGAAUUAAACUUCUUUUUGGGUCUUCAAGUAAAACAGUCCCCAAAGGGUACUUCCAUUUGUCAGCAAAAAUACAUCAGGGAACCCUUGAAGAGGUUUGACACGGAAGCACAAAAGUGGUAGAUACUCCCAUUGCAGCUGCCACUCAACUGGACAUGGAUGAAACUUGAUAUCCUGUGAAUCAAACAAUGUAUAGAGGCAUCAUUGGGUCUCUCCUCUAUCUCGCUGCCAAUCGACCUGCUAUUAUUUUAAAUGUGGGUCUAUGUGCAAGGUUUCAAUCAAAUCCCAAGGAAUGUCACCUCAAGGUUUCCAAAACAAUACUGAGAUAUCUCAAAGGCAUUCAGGACCUGGUACUAUAUUAUCCAUCAGGUGACAAUUUUAAUCUGUCUCCCAUUACAACUGCCACUCGACUGGACAUGGAUGAAACUAGAUAUCCUGUGAAUCAAACAAUGUAUAGAGGCAUCAUUGGGUAUGUUCUCUAUCUCACUACCAUUCGACCUGAUAUUAUUUUCAGUGUAGGGCUGUGUGUGUGAUGUUUCAAUCAAAUCCCAAGGGAUCUCACUUGAAGGUUGUAAAAAGAGUACAGAGAUAUCUCAAACGCACGCAGAACUUGGUACUAUAUUAUCCAUCAGGUGAUAAUUUUAAUCUGAUUGGUAUGCCAAUGCAGACUAUGCAGGUUAUCUUGUGGACAAAAAAUACUUUUGGAAUGACUUACUUCUUAGGAUCAUGUCUUAUCUCUUGAGGUACAAAGAAGCAAAAUUCGAUGGCCAUUUCAAUAGCUGAAGUUGAAUAUGUAGCUGCCGCAUUCUGCUCUGCCAACUUCUAUGGAUCAAGCAGCAACUGGAGGAGUUUGGAGUUCUCACUAAGGGUGUGCCCAUCCUAUGUUACAACAUCAGUGCACUCAACAUGGUAAAGAAUCUAGUUCGACAUAAAAGGACCAAAAAUAUUGAUGUGAGGCAUCACUUUCUAAGAGAUAAUGUGGAGAAAGGGUUGAUAUGUGUGAAGUUCUGCAGCACAGAAGAUCAAAUUACAGACAUUUUUACCCAGGCACUAAGUAGAGAAAAAUUUGAAAGAAACAGAGUGAAGCUGGGACUAUUGAGGCCAAAUUAAGCACCUUAUUCCUCCUUGGUUGGCUAUUAUUCUUAAUAAAUAACUAGUUCAAAGUGUAUUUUGGCCAUGUCUAACCCACUUCAAUACCGUUGCAGGUAGACACGCAUGAUAAGCAUAGAAAUAGUAGGUGCAUUACAUGACUGAAAAAAGAGGUUUAAUUCUUCUUUUUCAAAAAGAGGAGCUUGACAAAAAUGUUUUUCAAGAACCAGGUUCUUAUCCUAAAGGCUAGUAGUUCUGUGCAUCCUUUAAUACAUAUUCUGAAAGGUACAAAAUACAACUUCCAUAUCAUCAACUUUUUCAGAUCUAGCUACCAUGUAACUUCAAUUCAAAGCAUUCCAUCUCCCUCUGAAACAUCACAUUCUCUAUGCCCAACCGCCGUUUUUGAACUGGUGCCUAUUCUUCUCCCUUCAUAAUUAUCCUCUCUAUUUAACAACAUCUCUCUUAUUCCCUUCUUAGUCAUAAGCCCUAUUCUAAAUUCACCCAAAAGGAAAGGAUCACCACACUACCUCUUCCAAUGGCUGACAAAACUUUCGAUUUCUCUGCCUCAACUGUAACCACCUCUGACCCGUCUAUGGAACCUCUCACCGAUUCUGAGUCUGUGUUACCCUCUAUAACUCCUACUCCUACAGUACUACCUUCACUAUUUUCCCAACCUCUUCCCAACUCAAAAACCCUUGAAACUACUAUUCCUUUCUUUCCAUUGUCUGUUGCCUACACUAGUCAAACCCUAAGUUGAGAAUAGUGUCAAUAUACUGAGCUCACAAAAGGCUCUGCUAUCAUUGCCAUCAACUCCAUGGUUGUGGAAGCACCGGUUGAAGAAUACUAGAUUAUGUUUGUGGUAUUCGUUGAUGGGGUAUUGCAUGAGGUUAUUUCCCAGAAACAUGAGUCACAAAGCGUGAGGGAAAAAUGGGCCAUUAUGGAGUUUGAAGGGGAUGCAGUAGCAUACACUAUUUGGGAUUCACAUGGGGAACCUGCUCCCUCUCAAGAGGACCCAGGUCAGGAGUCUCAUCCCCAGGAAAGUGAUAUUCUUGCAUUCGAUACUGUGCCCCUAGAAAAUCAAGCACCAGAAAUGAGAUCUAGUGAUGAAGAACACCUGGAAAACAUGGCCCUUGAUGCACUCAAAAGUAAGGGAAGGGUUGUUUCCACCAGUGAGUUUGUAAUCAAGCGACCCACUACCAGGCUUCAAGUCAAAGUGGCUUAUGACUCUGCACUCCAAAAGAGCAAGAAAAGUAGCAAGGAAAAAAGAAUACAGUUGGUGAACGAUGAUGUACCUAUAAGUGAUGAUGCUAUCCCUGUAGUUAAGGUUGAGGAAGGAACUCAUGAGGAACCUGGUUCCCUUGUAAAGCAGUACUCGAAAAAGGCUAAAUCUGUUUCAAGGGAGAAGGGGUCUACUUCUAAGUCCAAGAUGAAAGAGGUAGUGAGUGAUGAGGAUGUUCUUGUCAAGUCCAAAGGGAAGGUAAAAGUCACUGGAGAAAAGCAUAGGAAACGCAAGUAUGAAAUAGUUGAAGAACCUAGUCCUGGAAGCUCAGCAAGCCCGAGCGGUUCCCAUGUCAAAUGAUGAGGUGAUCUGUUGGACAAAAGAAAAUAUUGUUCUCAGGGCGCAAGUCGAGAACCUGAAGGCUGAACUGCUCAACGAUCAAAAGUCUAGAAACACCCGAAUAGAUCUUGUUCUCCAGACACUUGCCGCAACUUCCAGGCCUUUUCCUCCUAGUUCCCAUUAAGAACCCCUUCAGUGACUGGUUUUCUAGAUAUGUUUCUUUUUUUUGUUUCCUUGUUGAUGGUUGGUGGAUGUUUUUUUUUUGCUUUUUCUAUGAUGGUUGGGAUAUACUAUUACUACUGAUCCUAUGAACAAGUCCAAUAUAACCUCUUCCUUUUUUUCAAAGGAUGAGGCAUAUCAAAAUUAUUAUUAUGAAUCCUCUUUUAUUUUGACUAGUACUUAUCUUUGUGUUAUAUUAUUUCUCAUGAUUGUGUGUAUAUAUGUGGCAUGAGUUAGCUUAGCUGGACUUCUUUGUUAUGUUGUUGUUUUUAAUGAUGCCAAACGGUAGAAAAGUAAGACUAAUAUAGGACUCAAGGGGAAACACUCUGGGGAACUGGUUCUUAUGAAUUAGUCUAUUACUCUGACCAUGAACGAUUAAGGCAUCAUCUCAAGGGGAAAUCUUUGAAAAACUUUUUUUUACUGCCCAAUUCUGACUUUAUCUAGAAAUAAAGUGAUCGACCGUACUAUUUCUGCUCUACUGCACCACAUUAUCAGCCCACUCAUUCUCUAACCAAACAAAGUACUCACAUCAUUUCAAGUGAUGUGAUCAAUAUGUACCAAAGCGGAUUUAUACAAAAACAUCACUAGAAGGUUUCUAUUUCUCAUUCAAGCUUCUAGCCAAAAAAAAAAUCAUUCUCUAAAGCUUGAAGAAAAAGGUUGAAUGCCAUUACGGACCAGUUCCUAAAAGAUUAAUUGUUGGUAUCCUAGUUAAGUUGUAACCUUGUUAUUGUACUUACUAUAUCUCCUAAAUCGCUUACCUUUGUUAUGUCGCCCCUACAUUUUUCAGUCCAAAAGGCAUAACUCUGUAGCAUUAUGUUCCUUGAUAGGUGAUGAAGGUGGUUUUCUCCUGAUAUCUUCUUCCAUGAGGAUCUGGUUGUAGCUUGAGUAGGCAUCUAAAAAAUUGAGCAGCUCAUGCCCGGCCAUUGAAUCGAUGAGCCGAUAUGAGGUAAUGGGAAUGAAUCUUUGGGGCAUGCUUUAUUUAAAUCUGUGAAGUCUAUGCACAUUCGCCACUUCCCGUUUUCUUUUUCACCAUGACCACAUUGGCUACUCAUGGGGGUACUUUGACUCCCUGAUGGAGCCAUUUUCCAAUAAAUUAUUAACCUCCUCAUGCACGACUUUAUUGAUUGAGAAAUUGAACUUCCGCCUAACCCGCCUCACCGGGGUAUGGAAGAGGUCGAUGUUUAGUUUGUGCAUAGCGAUCUCCUUUGGGAUACCGACAUAUCUGCAUGGAAAAAAACAAAUAAGUCUACAUCAUCAGUUAAGAAUUGACAGAAUUUAUGUAGUUCUUGAAGCUUGCAGCUGGUGUAACAUUUCUUGUUGUGGUCAUUGUCAUUAAGUUUAACAAGGUUGAGGUCUUCUAAGGUCGAUUUCGUGGCUUCCACUAUUUCAGGGCCUUUGAUGACGUCUUCCCUUUCAUAUCCACUCGACCUCGGCCCUGUUAAUUGUUAUGCUUAUUUUGCUUUGCCCUCCAUUUAUUGAGUGGUCGUACAAUCAGGGUGAUGUAGUAGUAUUCGUGAGAUGUACGUUGUUCUCCUCGUAUGCUGAAUAUUCCCCGUGGGGUUGGAAAUUUGAUGGCCUAUUACAAGCUAGAAGGGAUGGCUAGUACAACGUAUAUCCAUGGUCGCCCUAUUAUGCCAUUGUACGUUGUGUCCUUGUCCAUGAUAUGGAAUGUAGUUUCUAGAGUGACGUCGCUGGCUAGUACAAGGAGUGUGAUUUCUCCAUAACUCCGUUCAAUUCCAUUGUUAAAACCUGUUAACAUGAUAAAACAUAGCACUAUCUUCUCCUCGAGUUUCAUUUGUGCAAGUACUCGAGGUGGAUAAUUCACCCGCCUCUCCUAUCAUCCACCAUAAUGCGUCUCAUAUAUGUAUAUAAUAUACAAGGGCAUCAUAAUGAGGGAAAACUAAACCGAAGGUAUCUUACUUAUCGAAGCUGAUACUUUCUUCGAGUUCAUCAUACCAUUCGUGAGUGAUCAACUGUGUGAGCAUAUGGGUCGUGGUGAACCUCACGUUGUUGAUAGGAGAGUCAUCAUCGCCCCUGGUAAUCAUUUGAGUGGUGCGGUUCGGGGAGGGCGAUUUUGCCGAUCCCUGAUGCUGUUCAUAUCCUUGGGCAAAGUUGGUCCUCCCUCGAUCGCUCAGGAAUUCUUUAAGGUGUCCUUGGCAAAGCAUAUUUACGACCUCCUACCAUAGGGCAAUACAGUCCUUUGUUUUAUGACCUCGCUCUUAGUGGAACUCGUAGUGGGCGUCUGACUUUCUGGUUGUUGGAUCCAACCUCAUCUUUUGUGGACACUUUACUUUUGGUUCAAGCUUCUCCAAUGCGUAGACUAUUUCUGAUGAUGACACACAGAAAUUGUGAGCGGAUAUCAAAUGGGGCAUACCUCUCACGUUUCAAUGAGUUCUUGUCCUUGGUCUAGGCGAGUCCUCUUCGUGGAGGGAGGAGCGGUGCUAUAACGCUUAUGAGAAAUGUUUGACGAUCUCGGUUGAUUCGUGAAAAGGUCCCUUUUGAUAUCAUUUCUUUGAUCUUUCCUGGAUUCGGCUUGUACCGAGGUCAAUCGAUGGAUUUUCCCAUUUAGAUGGUCCUCGUCUGCUAGGACCUUGGCGUAAUAUGCGUUAUGUAUUUCAUCCCAAGUGGUCGGAGUAUAUUUCAUGAGUCACCUUGAUAAAUUUCCGGUUUCCGUUGACCAUUCCUGCUCAGUCCAUUUUGGAAAUCUGUGAUGGUCAUUCCCUUUGAUAUAUUUGAUAAGUUCAUUCUUACUCGGUUGAACUGGGCGAGGAAGUCCCUCAAUGCUUCUCCAGGUAAUAUUUUGAUAGCUAAUAUAUCGUUCACUCUUGCCUCCGCCUUUUUGGCCCCAGCAUAGGCCUUUAUGAACAUGUCAUCCAUCUUUUCAAAUGUUUCGAUAGAAUGCAUGGGCAGCUAUGAUGAGUACCAAGUCAAGUUGGUAUUUUGUCAGCAUUGACAUAGUGACUUACGUGAUCUUCCGGAUCAGUCGUGCCAUCAUAUAUUUUCAUAUAGGGCAUCAUUUUGAAGGUUAUUGGUAUGGUAUGUAGCGCGGAUUCAUCAUUGUAUGGUUGCUCGACAAACCAACCAACAUCUCUCUUCGGCAAGAGUUUCAGGGCACUUGGUAUUUUGUCAACCCUUUCUUGGUGCUCUCUCAUUUGGUCCUGAAGCAUUUUGUUCUUGUUCUCCAUUUUCUCCAUCUUUUUCAAAAUGGUUGUGAGGGUGUCGUCACCUCCAUUAUUAAUAGUGUGAGUAGGACCUGUUAUUGGAGGGGGAAAAGGGCCACAGUGCUUCAGCGUAGUCAGCGCAAUGCGAGUCCUCGCGUUUUCUAUAACCGUAUUCUGAGUGUGCUUGUGGAGGAUGAUGGUUAGCAUGUCGGUUAGCCAAGCCUCAAGAAGCUUUUUCACUGCUGAUGGCAUAUCUUUGGUCGUAGAUACGGAGGCUCCUUUACCGCGGGAGGUUGUGAUAUUGUGUGAGGGAGAGGCAACCCGCCUUGCUUGGAAAAGGCAUUAGGCGUUAUGUCCUCGCCUUUUGUAUCAAAAACCUCAUUGAUGGUGUUCAAAAGAUUGGUGGUGAGGUCGGCCAUUACCCUCAUUCUUCUCCAGUACCUAUCAUGUCAGGUCUGUGUGUACAAGAAAAAAGGAGUUUUGUUCUACAUUUUUUUAUAAGCAACCCGUAAUAGUUAUAGACUUAGAAGAAACUAAAAAUUUAACUAGAAAUCUCCAUGGACGAUGCCCAAUUGUUUGACCAAAAAGCUUAAACUUUUGGUGAAACUAUUAAAUCUUAUGUGAUAAGGGGUUAAACCUUGUUAAUUUACAUUGAAGGUUUGAUCUUAAUUUAAGCCACCCUAGUUCUCUACAAACAUCUUUAAACCAUUGCUAACAGAAAAUAUUUAUAUUAUGCUUCAACUUGCUCCGCACAUUCUUCAAGGAUAGGUUCUUCAGACUUCAAGUUCUUGAUCUUGAUCUGUUAAAAGAUGAAGUCAUGUAACAUUAGUGAAAAAACUUCUACUAGCUACUUUAUAUUGAAAACAAAUGAAUAAUUUAAUCACCAAAUCAAUUAAAUAAUUAGAGUAUACAUUGUUUGAUUAAACUGAUGCAACCAAUGAACUAUUUUAAGAAAUUUAUCUUUUAUGUUCAAGUAUAGAUGAAAUUUAGACUUCAAGCCAGACUUCAAAUUCUGAAAUUUCAAGGCAGAGAAAGGCUUAUAAUCUGGCCAUUGUUAAAAUAACAAAGAAGUGCAGUAAAUAGCAAGUACAAAAGCCCAUGAUAAAUAGAACAAAUUGUAAAUGACCAAUGCUGAUAAAAAUGUGGAAGAAGUAGUGUUUUCGAAAGCGCUAAGAGCAAAAAAGCAACGAGGCCUCGCUUCACCGAAAUGAGAAGCGAAGCGCGCGCUUUUUCCAUGUGAAGCGCAAUUUAACACCUAAAUUUAAAAAAAGCAUCGAUAAUUGGCUAAGAACUUAUUAAAAAUAACAUAUUAAGCAAAUGUUUCAAUUCUUGAAUCAAGAAGCAAAUAAUAGAUACUAAUCAAAUUUAAUUUACUACAAUCAACAACCACAAAAAAAUAAAAAAAGAACAGGUAAUUCACUGAUAAAUUGCAGAAAACAGAGCAUAAAGCAGAUGAUAAAGCAGAAAACAGAGCAUAAAGCAUAAAACAAAGUAGAACAGAAGAAGAAGUCGUUUAGGGCACAAAAUCAGCAUUUAAAAGAAGAAGAAGAAGCUUACUAAGAUCUGGAGAAGAAGUCGCUGGAGCAGCAGUGAUCAUCGCUGGAGAAAAAGUCGAAAUCAAACAGUUAACUUUUUUUUCGAACUAGAAAAGUUUGAAUAAAAAAACAAAGAAAUACAAACCAGAAAAAUAGAGCAUAGAUUAGGGAAAAAAACAUAGCAAUAAAAAGUGAAAAAAUAGAAAUAAAAAGAGAAAAAUAGAGCAUAUAAAGAACAGAGAAAAAAAUUAGGGCACAACCGCACAAGAACAAAACAAUCAACAGUGAAAAAAAUAGAAAAAAGAUGAGAAAAGGAGUCAAACAGGAACCAAAGAAAAUCAUAGGAAGAUGAAGAAUAAGAAGAGAAGGAGAGAAGAAGAAACUUACAGAGAAGAAGCACUAAGCAGUCGUUGAAGCAGCGGUUGUUGGAGCAGCAAUCGCUGGGAGAAUAAGUGUUUGUUAGCCUUAAGUUUUUGCCAAGUUCUUUUUUUUUAAUAACCCUAACAGCUGCUUAACGUCGCUUAAGCGCGCUCUUUCCUGCUUAUUGGAUUGUUGCGCUUCUCGCUUAACGAGGUAAAGCGUGCGCGUUUUCAUAUGAGUUGCUUUUGUGGCAGAAAAGCGAGAUAGCCUCGCCUCGCGUCGCAUUAGCACUUUAAGCGAGAAACGCACGUUUUUUACAACACUGGGAAAAAGUUAGUCAUCCAUGUUUCCUUCAAUUCAAUGAUGCAAGAUAUGGCUAAAUUCAUUUACAAAUACUCUUCAUGUAAUAGUUGAUAAAAAUUUACUGACCUAUUAAAGUGUUCCUACUAGAAUUUCCAUUAGAACAAAACUGAAAAAUCGAUAUCAAAUUAGUAUCCAAAAAUGAUUGUAAGAUAGACUGCAAUUUUGAGCAACAUCCAAUCAUUUAUAGGUUCACAAUCCACACCUUGACGUUAAAGCUUCUCAACUCUAGUGACAUCAACAUGCUCGAUCUCAAUCGUUAGAACUCCGCACGUAACAUUAACAUUCAAAUUAACUUGCAAAUAGCCAAAACAACAAACAUAUAUUUGACCAAAAAACAAGUCUUUUUCCAAAUACUUUAACGAUGAAACUAUCAUCAUAGCUUCUCACCACAUGAUCAUGUGCUAAUGCACUUGUCGGGGAAUUCUCCAUGGGGUCCAAGACAAUCACUUUCAGUUCUAUUUGAGAUGCUGCUUGACACAACAUACGACCCAACUGCCCUCCUCCUAAAGCACCUAUAAGCAUAUCAGACACUCCAUGGAUUUGUGAACCACGACAUUAUUCAACAUAUUCCAGCAUACUAUUAAUAUUAUUAAUUAGAAAAUGCAAUAAAACAUCAUUGAACUCACAUACAGUAAUUACCUGUAAUUUAAACUACAUACAAUAAUAGCUACACCGCCUCAUUCUGAAAAAAGUUUUGGUCGGCCUAUUAAUCAUUACUAACCUUGUUUCUCCAAUUAAAAUCCAUCAAAAUGAAACCACAUAAAUUUUGAACAUAUAUUUAUCUAAACAACAUAAUCAGAGACCACAUUUAAGAAUGUUGAAGUUCUUGUAUAUAUAUAUAUAUAUAUGACUUCUUUUUUUAUAUUUUUCGUAAACCUUAUAUUUUUCAUAAGAAUAUCUCUUAAGGUUGGCACUGUGAUCCUUCCGGAUCUGCACUUUAAGCAAUUUUCCUAAAAAAGAUAGAUAUGAUAAUUCUCAGUUGGCUUGCAGAUGGUUAUUUAUUACCUUUGAGUCAUCCUAAAGAACAACUUCUUAAGAAAUAAUUGGAUUUCAUUAUUAUAUAUGAAAGAAGACAUAUAUCCAUAGAUUUAAUUUUUAGAUCUAAAUUUUCUCUAUAGCAUUGAGUUAAGAACUUGAAUAUUAUCCUUAUGGAACCCAGAGGUCUCUUGAACCAAGAACAGAAAGCAUUCAAAUUACCAUUGUUAAAUUUUUCGUAAUUACUUGCAGAUCUAAGCUAUGUCUUUCUUCCAUCCUUUUUCCUCUCCUUCAAAGAAUUCCUCGCCCCCAACUUCCUCAUCUUCCUCCUCAUUCUCCUCCUCCAAUCCCACACUCAAAGAAGAAAUUAGCUUUUCUAAUUUGCAAUAAUCAAUUGAUGACUGGAAGAUCCCUAAACAUCCACAGUCUAUAAUUUAUAAAUCUUCACAAUGGCCUUUGACCAGUGAUUACCAUAUUUCUACAAUUGAGAAAACUAUUCCUCUUGAAUCAGACCAUGAGGAAAUCUAACUUUUAAACCCAAAAUCUAUAGAAAAAUAUAGGCAAAAUACAAUUAUCUCUAUUUUGGUUUAGUACAGAUUGCAGCUAGACCUCUGCCCAAAGAAGGUCUAGACACGUCUCUACUCCUCUGUCUUAGAGACUCUAGAUUUUUAGACUUCAAUGAUUCUCUCCUAGAAACGGUAGACACCAGCCUUUGUAGCGGUCAAAUUUACUUUGAUUGUUUUCCUAAUUUUACGGUAUCUUUUAAAGUUAGAAAUAUCUUAGAUUCUUUAACUCUUAAUGUUAAAACGGCCAAUUACAAAACCAAAAUUGGAUCCUUACUAGUAGCAAUUAUUUAUAGAAUAUAGUAUAAAGCCAUGAGUUAUGCCUUUAACACUGGAGCUACAUAAAGGAGAAAUUGUUCUUUUCAAAAUAGAUCUACAAUGAUCUCACCUAUCAAUACUAAACCCCAUUUCUUGGAGCCAAGUUUCCCUACCACAAAACUGGUAACUACAAGAUACUACUCAGGCUGAGAAACCAGAAAAUACUACCGUCUCUCAUAUCAGACAAUAUUCUAGCGGAUCUGUAGCCAUUUCCUUCCAAAGGUCCCUUAGCCAAAGAGUCUUUGUCUCAUCCUCAUUGGCACAAUCGGAGAUUUAGUCUAGAAGACAUUCAAUAUCUUGACUAGUCAUUGCACUAGUAGCGUCUACGAGCCUCCCGCUUCGGUACCAUCUCCUUUUUACCAGCCGAGCUGCCCUGUCAACCCUUUGCGGCGCUUGCUUCCUAGCUAGAACUCACACAGCGCAAACAUAAAUGAGAACUAAGCAUAGUCUGACUCCCUAGCGCACAGAGCAAGAGUAAGCUACUUCACUCGAGAAGAAGAAAUAGGCUAACGAUCGGCUCAGAUAAGGAUGCCUCCUCUCUUUCCAAGCUAGCUCCGAUGCAANNNN